rnacentral:misc_RNA from 1 species
AAGUCGUAACAAGGUUUCCGUAGGUGAACCUGCGGAAGGAUCAUUACCGAUUUUAGCGAACCUGACCUCUUCUGGUCAUGGUCUCGCGAAAAUUUUGUAUUUAAAACCCCACUCUUUUUUGUAAUAAUUUUUAAAUGAAUCAUAUUAUUAUGUAAAUAAAGAUCACUUUCAACAACGGAUCUCUUGGCUCUC